rnacentral:rRNA from 1 species
GACGAACGCUGGCGGCGUGCUUAACACAUGCAAGUCGAACGGAAAGGCCCUGCUUUUGUGGGGUGCUCGAGUGGCGAACGGGUGAGUAACACGUGAGUAACCUGCCCUUGACUUUGGGAUAACUUCAGGAAACUGGGGCUAAUACCGGAUAGGAGCUCCUGCUGCAUGGUGGGGGUUGGAAAGUUUCGGCGGUUGGGGAUGGACUCGCGGCUUACCAGCUUGUUGGUGGGGUAGUGGCUUACCAAGGCUUUGACGGGUCGCCGGCCUGAGAGGGUGACCGGCCACAUUGGGACUGAGAUACGGCCCAGUGUCCUACGGGAGGCAGCAGUGGGGAGUAUUGCACAGUGGGCGGAAGCCUGAUGCAGCAGCGCCGCGUGCGGGAUGACGGCCUUCGGGUUGUAAACCGCUUUCGCCUGUGACGAAGCGUGAGUGACGGUAAUGGGUAAAGAAGCACCGGCUAACUACGUG